GAGAAUAAGGCAAAAAGUAGAGGAUACUUGAGAUGAGAAAUAAACAAAUUAAUUCAAAAAAGGAGAGAGAGAGAAGGUGAGAUGAGAGGGUUUUAUUUCUACUUAUCAGAGCAGAACAAAUAAAUCAGAAAUGGAGCCUAACACCCCCACCCAAACAGGCUGGCUUUCACCCCUACCCCCACCUUUCUCCACCCAUCCAUCUCGUUUCCAUUUCAUCUCUCUCUCAGCCUCACACUCUCUCUCUCUCUCUCUCACGACAGGCGCUGAUAUUUGCAUAGGUGCAUCUGACUGUGAUAAGAGAACGAAUGAAACAAAAGUGCUUAUCUCACUAUUCAUUAAUAUUCAUGAGCACCUGGGGAGCACAGUAAUGCGGACGGAAAGCGCCCGUGGGCUGAGCUUUCACAGCGCACGCCGGAACACGUGUGCGCGCACGUUUGAGUGUCUGAAUGCACUAAUUCAUUUAUUUGGUGUUUUAUAACAUUAUGCUUGCGUUUGACCCAAUACAUGCGGUCAGCAUGGCCAGCAGGGGGAGCCAUAUCUCUCUCGGUGUGUAUAUUCUUGCGUAUCCUUGUUAGGCCCUGUGGCUAAUUUUAUAUAAUGGGAGCAGAUGAUGGUUUACACACAAGCCCUAGAUCUAGUAGCCUGCUCUGGCUCUGUUACCUUUCCAAUAGCCAGUUAGCACCCACGUAAGCUGAGCUCAGCUCUCUAGCAGGUAGACGGCGCGGGAUGGAGGGAGAGUUCUAGAUGAUGUGAGCUAAAUGUCUCCUUCACCCCUUUUCUCUUUUGGUCUGUGCCACAGCGAUGUUGUAAACACCACACAUCUUGCCGAGGAAGACUAGAGCAGCACAGACUUCGGUCUGACGAACAAAAUUGCUUUCACUGACGCCUAGAGGUCAGAGUUCACUGGUCUCACUUAAUUUCAGCUGAAAGGGAGAGAGAGUGAGGCAGAAAUGUCCCCUCUGCACCUCGGCGUUCUCCAGGGACACGCGUGACCUCGGCGUUCUCCAGGGACACGAGUGUUCUGGAUGAGGAACAGUUUCCCAUUAAAGGAGCUUUUGAUUGGGAUAAGGAUCAUGUGACCUAGUCGCUAUAUUUGACUAUGUGGUCCAGUGCAGAUGUCUCUCUCCCUCACGCACGCACACACAAGGCCAGACUUCCCUUGGUGAGCUGGUCUUUGGUCCCUCUGUAAAGAACUCUGCCAUAACACACAUAUUCUGGGUGAAUAACUCCAGCCCCACAGCCUCUCGCAAGUCUGUGUGAGAAGGGAUUUACUAGCACGGUCGAAGAGCCAGGUUCCUCUCACGUCUCUGGCGUCGCUGUACACCUCUCUGCCUGGGGGGUGUGUGGGGGUGUGGGUGGGGUAAACGGAGAACCGGAGGUAUUGGGCAACAGUCAAAUCUGGACCCUUUCAGUGCUUUUUUUCUGGAGGUUUUCAAUUCCAAACAGGCAAUCAGAUUCCUAGUCACUGACUGGCCACUUUGUCAUUACUAGUGUCUCCCUGGUAAAGGGAAAACGACAGAAUCUUGAGGGCUGUGUUUUUAACUACGAAUUACAAAAUCCCACACCAUUUUGGUUUAGACUCAUCUGGUCUGAUGAGUUCUCUCUAUUGUGAAAAACCUGUACAGACACAUUCCCCUCUUCAAAAUCCCCUCAAACCGUGAGGAGAUGGCAACGUUUUCAAAACGUGAGUUUAACCUAAGGGGAAUGGCUGUUCAAGCAACACUGGUCUUUAAGGGAUUACUUAGAGGAAAUCCAAUACUUAAGGGAAGACAUGAGUAUGUGUAAUGAUUUCACUUAUGAAAACCACUUAAGACUUUCUAAGUGCUGUUUAAGACUUUCUUGUGUGACACAUUUAUCUUUAAGAAACCGUUCCACGUAUUCUAAAUUGAAAAUUCAGCGUGUGGUUUGUAAUAUAACUGGGCCAUGGUCUUUAGUCCACGAACAAGGGCUUCCUGAGGCAGCGACGUUCCUCAGUCAUUGCAUGAAAUCACUUCAAAGAAACUUUAGCUCCUCCCCGACUUCUCACUGGCUAACGUCACCGUUGCUCUGUGAAAGGCUGACGCUGUGAAUGGCUGGUCCAAGCAGAUGUAUGUAGCAAGAGUACGGAAUGUUCAGAUGCCGUGUGUCCUGCUCAAGGCUGUUAAGUGAGUGUAAAGUUUGUUGUGAGGGUGACAGGCAGAAGUCACGCGCACACACACACACACACACACACACACACACUCACUCACUGUAUAGCUCAAACUGAGAAUUAUAAGCCUCUUUGUAACAUGUGCUGGUUGUAAGAAUGUGUAUUAAGUGUGGGGAUGCAUUCAGUGUAAAUCCAGUCUUAAUUGCUUUUGAAACCUUGAAAAUGGUCCUGACUCACUGUUAUUGCCAGUAAAUGUCUGAUAAAUGAUUUUUUAUUGUGGCACGUGUGGUUUUGUGUAGUAUGCGGUGUGUAAGGGGUAGUUCUGUACUGGUGCAUGGUGAGCUGUUUGUAUAUGUGGGCAGAUAUACAGAAGAGAUGAGCGUGCCGUGACGUCCGCGUUCGUUAGCGCUGUGCUUCGACAGCGGAGCUGACACUUCCCGGUCCUUAUUACAGAAGAUCUCAGCUCAUCACCCCCGUCAGUCUGAUCCAGGACCAGCAUGCCUCUGCCUUCUCGGCAUUUCACACUGCGAAAGGUUGAUCUACACCUAUGUCAAAAAUGCCUGUGGGCGCGUGCACAUGAGGAGGUGUGUGCUAAUGUGUGGGAUGAGCUCUGGAAAAGCGGAGUGGAGAAGGAGGUGAAGAGGAGCAGAGGAGCAGAGGGGUCGUAGUUCCCUGACUGGGGAGCCACUUAGGCAGCACACCCCAAGAGUUGCAGGUACACACCUCACCCUCACGAGAGAAAGAGCGUGUGUGUGUGUGCGUGUGCGUGUUCUUUCUCUUACACACACACACAAGCACAAAAUACACAGAACUCUUAAAAUGUUUCCUUUACCAGGAAGGCUUUCUUUGGUAAGGGCUCCUCGGGUUCCCCUGAACUGCACAGGCUGAGGUUUUCCGGCUCCCAACACCCCUCGUCCAAUUCCUUCAUUAUUUAUCAAACCUUUUAACAAUGAGUAAACAGCUCAACAGCUGCAGAGCUAAACAAAAACAAAACUGGCACCUACACUCCUCUAUAAUAAAAUACACAGAACUAUUUCCCUCUAAAUGGAUUACACCGACCUUCCUCUAAGCAUUGUGUACUGAAGUAAACACACUCUUACAAAACCUGAUCAUAUUGAUUCAUUUAUUUAUAGAAUGCCAGAACCAAUGGGUUUUGUCCUUCUACUUGUUUGCUGACACAUUUAUUGCCAAGUAAACUUAAUACAAGAAAGCUUUACUGUGUCAUGCCUUUGUGAUUUUGGUCUGGGUCAUUAAAUCGGGUUGGUUGUGUAUGUGCUGUAAUUGUGGCAGUGCAGGUCAUUAAAAAGCAAAACAGCUGUACAGUGAGUACAGUGUUGGGCACAGUGUUAAGAUCAAUGUUAGUGUGUUAGGCACUGUGCUGAGCAGUGUGUUAGUGUGUUAGGCAGUGGGUUAAAUACUGUUGAACAAGGUGUUGGGCAGUGUAUUGGGCAUUGUGUUAGUCGGUGUCUUGGGCAGUGUUUUAAGCACUGUGUUGGGCAGUGUGUUGGGCACUGUGUUAGUGUUAGUCAGUGUGUUAGUUUGUUGGGCAGUGUUGGGCACUGCGUUACAGUGUUAGUUUGUUAGUGUGCUGUACAGUGUGUUAGUCAGUGUGUUAGUGUGUUGGGCAGUGUGUUGGGUAUCGUGUUGGCCAGUGUCUGAGCCCUUGAGAGGUUCUCUCUCAUAUUCCACAGGCAUCUUGGUCUCCCUACUGCAGCACUUUCUCUUUGGGCAACAGAGAGUCCAAAUCAAGGUGAAGCCAUCCCUCCAGGUCAGACACCUUGUACAGUCUGUCCCACGCGCUAAACACCUCAUCUGCUGCACAUGUGCGUGUGUGCGCAUCUCAGAGGAUGCUGACCCACUUUACGUGUGGCUAAUCCUGGAUCAUGUAGGCUCAGGGAGAAUUACUGGCCUACUCUCACAUUCUGCUCUGAGCAGGACAGAUGAUAAAAAUACGACUUUUAUAACAGCAGAACACAGAAGUCGCCACAUAGUGCCAGAACACAGCACACAUCUGGGCACACACACACACACA